rnacentral:rRNA from 1 species
AUUGAACGCUGGCGGCAUGCCUAACACAUGCAAGUCGAACGGACCCUUCGGGGUUAGUGGCGGACGGGUGAGUAACACGUGGGAACGUGCCCUUUGGUUCGGAAUAACGCAGAGAAAUUUGCGCUAAUACCGAAUGAGCCCUUCGGGGGAAAGAUUUAUCGCCGAAAGAUCGGCCCGCGUUGGAUUAGGUAGUUGGUGUGGUAAAGGCGCACCAAGCCUACGAUCCAUAGCUGGUCUGAGAGGAUGAUCAGCCACACUGGGACUGAGACACGGCCCAGACUCCUACGGGAGGCAGCAGUGGGAAAUCUUGCGCAAUGGGCGAAAGCCUGACGCAGCCAUGCCGCGUGAAUGAUGAAGGUCUUAGGAUUGUAAAAUUCUUUUACCAGGGACGAUAAUGACGGUACCUGGAGAAAAAGCCCCGGCUAACUUCGUGCCAGCAGCCGCCGUAACAC